AUAUCAAUAAGCGGAGGAAAAGAAACCAACAGGGAUUGCCCCAGUAGCGGCGAGCGAAGCGGCAAGAGCUCAAAUUUGAAAUCUGGUCCCUCCGGGGUCCGAGUUGUAAUUUGUAGAGGAUGCUUCGGCUUCGGCUCCGGGAUAGGUCCCCUGGAACGGGGCGCCACAGAGGGUGAGAGCCCCGUAUUCGCCCGGGCGGCCGUCGCCGUGUGAAGCUCCUUCGAAGAGUCGAGUUGUUUGGGAAUGCAGCUCUAAGCGGGAGGUAUAUUUCUUCUAAAGCUAAAUACCGGCCAGAGACCGAUAGCGCACAAGUAGAGUGAUCGAAAGAUGAAAAGCACUUUGGAAAGAGAGUUAAAAAGCACGUGAAAUUGUUGAAAGGGAAGCUCUUGCCGCCAGACUUGCCCCGGUUGCUCAGCCGUCCCAAGGGUCGGUGCACUCCUCCGGUGGCAGGCCAGCGUCAGUUCGGGCGGUCGGACAAAGGCCGUGGGAAUGUAGCCCCCCUCGGGGGGUGUUAUAGCCCGCGGUGCAAUGCGGCCAGCCCGGUCUGAGGAACGCGUUCGCGAGGACGUUGGCGUAAUGGCGGCAAGCGACCCGUCUUGAAACACGGACCAAGGAGUCUAACAUCUGUGCGAGUGUUUGGGCGUCAAACCCAUGCGCGCAAUUAAAGUGAACGGAGGUUGGAACCCCCCAGAGGGGUGCACAAUCGACCGAUCCUGAUGUCUUCGGAUGGAUUUGAGUAAGAGCAUAGCUGUUGGGACCCGAAAGAUGGUGAACUUUGCCUGGACAGGGCGAAGCCAGAGGAAACUCUGGUGGAGGCUCGCAGCGGUUCUGUACGUGCAAAUCGAUCGUCAAAUCUUGGCAAAGGGGCGAAAGACUAAUCGAACCAU
rnacentral:rRNA from 1 species